rnacentral:rRNA from 1 species
GAUGAACGCUGGCGGCGUGCCUAAUACAUGCAAGUCGAGCGAACGGACGAGAAGCUUGCUUCUCUGAUGUUAGCGGCGGACGGGUGAGUAACACGUGGAUAACCUACCUUUAAGACUGGGAUAACUUCGGGAAACCGGAGCUAAUACCGGAUGAUAUUUUGAACCGAAUGGUUCAAAAGUGAAGACCGGUCUUGCUGUCACUUAUAGAUGGAUCCGCGCUGCAUUAGCUAGUUGGUAAGGUAACGGCUUACCAAGGCAACGAUGCAUAGCCGACCUGAGAGGGUGAUCGGCCACACUGGAACUGAGACACGGUCCAGACUCCUACGGGAGGCAGCAGUAGGGAAUCUUCCGCAAUGGGCGAAAGCCUGACGGAGCAACGCCGCGUGAGUGAUGAAGGUCUUCGGAUCGUAAAACUCUGUUAUUAGGGAAGAACAUAUGUGUAAGUAACUGUGCACAUCUUGACGGUACCUAAUCAGAAAGCCACGGCUAACUACGUG